rnacentral:rRNA from 1 species
GACGAACGCUGGCGGCGUGCCUAAUACAUGCAAGUAGAACGCACAGUUUAUACCGUAGCUUGCUACACCAUAGACUGUGAGUUGCGAACGGGUGAGUAACGCGUAGGUAACCUGCCUGGUAGCGGGGGAUAACUAUUGGAAACGAUAGCUAAUACCGCAUAAUAUUAAUUAUUGCAUGAUAAUUAAUCGAAAGGUGCAAUUGCACCACUACCAGAUGGACCUGCGUUGUAUUAGCUAGUAGGUGAGGUAACGGCUCACCUAGGCGGCGAUACAUAGCCGACCUGGGAGGGUGGUCGGCCACCCCGGGAAUGAAGCACGGCCCCAAAUCCCACGGGGAGGAGCAGGAGGGAAACUUCGGACAUUGACGGAAGUCUGACCGCGCAACGCCGCGUGGGUGGAGAAGGGUCUCGGAUCGUAAAGCUCUGUUGUAAGGGAAGGACGGGUGUGAAAGUAAAAAGUUCACACUGUGACGGUAUCUUACCAGAAAGGGACGGCUAACUACGUG